CCAGCGGGGGCGGGGCCUGUCAUGGCCGCCUCUGGAGUCAAUUCUAGGAACCCUGAGGAUGAACUGACCCUUUUAUUCACUAUUCCACAUCGAGCUGCAAACCCAUCAGAUGGAACCAUGUGAUCAUUGUGGCCACCAGCUGACCCCACAGCCACCUUGUGCCUCCCUUGGACCCACCCAGGAAUUUCUGAGCCUUCUUUAUGAAUCCUGGCUAUGGAAGAAAGAGGACCAUAUAUUGGACUCCAAUUCAGAGCAUAUACAACCCUCUGGAGAACCUUGCCCUGGGACAAGCAGAGGUAUUGUCACAUAGCCAGCCCUGUAACUGAGUCUUCAGAAGGCCAUUCCACCAUUCUAUCCAGCCUGCUGCUUCAGCCCCUGCCAACCACCAUUCUACUCUGUGCUUCUGUGAUUUGACG